UACGUAGGUGGCAAGCGUUAUCCGGAAUUAUUGGGCGUAAAGCGCUCGUAGGCGGUUUCUUAAGUCUGAUGUGAAAGCCCACGGCUCAACCGUGGAGGGUCAUUGGAAACUGGGAGACUUGAGUGCAGAAGAGGAGAGUGGAAUUCCACGUGUAGCGGUGAAAUGCGUAGAGAUGUGGAGGAACACCAGUGGCGAAGGCGACUCUCUGGUCUGUAACUGACGCUGAGGAGCGAAAGCGUGGGGAGCAAACAGG
rnacentral:rRNA from 1 species